UUCUCCUGUUCCCAUAUAGUCACUGAAGUUAAGCAACAUCAAGCCUGGAUAGUACCUAGAUGGGUGACCACUGGGGAGUACCAGGUGCUGUAA